UACGUAGGUGGCAAGCGUUGUCCGAAGUUACUGGGCGUAAAGCGCGCGUAGGCGGUCUUUUAAGUCUGAUGUGAAAGGUUCAGGGCUCAACCCGAACGCUGCAUUGGAUACUGGGAGACUUGAGUAUGGGAGAGGGAAGCGGAAUUCCAGGUGUAGCGGUGAAAUGCGUAGAUAUCUGGAGGAACACCGAUGGCGAAGGCAGCUUCCUGGCCUGUAACUGACGCUGAGGUGCGAAAGCGUGGGGAGCGAACGGG
rnacentral:rRNA from 1 species